AGUCUGGUGCCAGCAGCCGCGGUAAUUCCAGCUCCAAUAGCGUAUAUUAAAGUUGUUGCGGUUUAAAAGCUCGUAGUUGGAUCUCGGCGGGUAGGGGACGGUUCGUUGUUUGACGCUACUGUCCCAUUCGCCCGUGAAUGGUGUGGCGGAGGUUCCAGGGUGCUCUUAAUCGAGUGUCCUGGGAUGCCGUCAGGUUUACUUUGAAAAAAUUAGAGUGCUCAAAGCAGGCUUUACACGCUUGAAUAUUCGUGCAUGGAAUAAUGGAAUAGGACGUCGUUUCUAUUUUGUUGGUUUUCAGAAAUCGACGUAAUGAUUAAUAGGGACAGUCGGGGGCAUUAGUAUUCAGACGACAGAGGUGAAAUUCUUGGACCGUCUGAAGACUAACUACUGCGAAAGCAUUUGCCAAGAAUGUUUUCAUUAAUCAAGAACGAAAGUUAGAGGUUCGAAGGCGAUCAGAUACCGCCCUAGUUCUAACCAUAAACGAUGCCAGCUAGCGAUCCGCAGCUGUUUUUACAUUGGGCUCUGCGGGAAGCUUCCGGGAAACCAAAGCGUUUGGGUUCCGGGGGAAGUAUGGUUGCAAAGCUGAAACUUAAAGGAAUUGACGGAAGGGCACCACCAGGAGUGGAGCCUGCGGCUUAAUUUGACCCAACACGGGAAAUCUCACCAGGCCCGGACACUGGAAGGAUUGACAGAUUGAGAGCUCUUUCUCGAUUCGGUGGGUGGUGGUGCAUGGCCGUUCUUAGUUGGUGGAGUGAUUUGUCUGGUUAAUUCCGAUAACGAACGAGACUCUGUCCUGCUAAAUAGUUCCAGCGUCCUUUGUUGCGCUGGAAAUUCUUCUUAGAGGGACUGGCGGCGUCUAGCCGCACGAGAUUGAGCAAUAACAGGUCUGUGAUCCCUUAGAUGUUCUGGGCCGCACGCGCGCUACACUGAAGGGAUCAGCGUGUCUUCCCUUCCCGAGAGGGACGGGUAACCCGCUGAACCCCCUUCGUGGUAGGGAUCGGGGCUUGCAAUUAUUCCCCGUGAACCAGGAAUUCCCAGUAAGCGCAAGUCAUAAGCUUGCGUUGAUUACGUCCCUGCCCUUUGUACACACCGCCCGUCGCUACUACCGAUUGAACGUUUUAGUGAGGUAUUUGGAUUGGACCUCUGGGGAUUCGCGUCUCUAGUCCGUCCGAGAAGACUCCCAAACUUGAGCGUUUAGA
rnacentral:rRNA from 1 species